rnacentral:piRNA from 1 species
UGCAAAUGACGGAUUUUGUUGUCACCUGC